rnacentral:misc_RNA from 1 species
UCCGGUUUGUCACCGGCAGUCUCCCUAGAGUGCCCAACUCAAUGCUGGCAACUAAGGACAAGGGUUGCGCUCGUUGCGGGACUUAACCCAACAUCUCACGACACGAGCUGACGACAACCAUGCACCACCUGUCACCUCUGCCCCGAAGGGAGCUCCUAUCUCUAGGAGGGUCAGAGGGAUGUCAAGCCCUGGUAAGGUUCUUCGCGUUGCUUCGAAUUAAACCACAUGCUCCACCGCUUGUGCGGGCCCCCGUCAAUUCCUUUGAGUUUCAGUCUUGCGACCGUACUCCCCAGGCGGAGUGCUUAAUGUGUUAACUUCGGCACUAAAGGUUCAAAACCUCUAACACCUAGCACUCAUCGUUUACGGCGUGGACUAC